UUUUAUCAAGGAAGAAGAUCUGACGGUACUUGAUGAAUAAGCCACGGCUAAUUCCGUGCCAGCAGCCGCGGUAAUACGGGAGUGGCAAGCGUUAUCCGGAAUUAUUGGGCGUAAAGCGUCCGCAGGCGGUCUUUUAAGUCUGUCGUCAAAGCGUGGAGCUUAACUCCAUUACUGCGAUGGAAACUGGGAGACUAGAGUGUGGUAGGGGCAGAGGGAAUUCCCGGUGUAGCGGUGAAAUGCGUAGAUAUCGGGAAGAACACCAGUGGCGAAGGCGCUCUGCUGGGCCAUAACUGACGCUCAUGGACGAAAGCCAGGGGAGCGAAAGGGAUUAGAUACCCCUGUAGUCCUGGCCGUAAACGAUGAACACUAGGUGUCGGGGGAAUCGACCCCCUCGGUGUCGUAGCCAACGCGUUAAGUGUUCCGCCUGGGGAGUACGCACGCAAGUGUGAAACUCAAAGGAAUUGACGGGGGCCCGCACAAGCGGUGGAGUAUGUGGUUUAAUUCGAUGCAACGCGAAGAACCUUACCAGGGUUUGACAUCCUGCGAAUCUUUUGGAAACAGAAGAGUGCCUUCGGGAGCGCAGAGACAGGUGGUGCAUGGCUGUCGUCAGCUCGUGUCGUGAGAUGUUGGGUUAAGUCCCGCAACGAGCGCAACCCACGUCGUUAGUUGCCAGCAUUCAGUUGGGCACUCUAGCGAGACCGCCGGUGAUAAACCGGAGGAAGGUGUGGAUGACGUCAAGUCAUCAUGCCCCUUACAUCCUGGGCUACACACGUACUACAAUGCUACGGACAAAGGGCAGCAAACUCGCGAGAGCUAGCAAAUCCCAUAAACCGUGGCUCAGUUCAGAUCGUAGGCUGCAACUCGCCUACGUGAAGGAGGAAUCGCUAGUAAUCGCAGGUCAGCAUACUGCGGUGAAUACGUUCCCGGGCCUUGUACACACCGCCCGUCACACCAUGG
rnacentral:rRNA from 1 species